ACCUCUUCCCAUUCCGAACAGAGAAGUUAAGCCCCGCCACGCCGAUGGUACUGCGUCACAGUGGGAGAGUAGGUAGUCGCCGUUU
rnacentral:rRNA from 1 species